rnacentral:rRNA from 1 species
CCUCGGGUGGCAGCAGUGGGGAAUAUUGCACAAUGGGGGAAACCCUGAUGCAGCGACGCCGCGUGAGUGAAGUAGUAUUUCGGUAUGUAUAGCUCUAUCAGCCGGGAAGACAAUGACGGUACCUGAUUCAGAAGCACCGGCUAACUACGUGCCAGCAGCCGCGGUAAUACGUAGGGGGCAAGCGUUUUCCGGAUUUACUGGGUGUAAAGGGAGCGUAGAAGGCAGCACAAGGCUGGAGUGAAAUGCCGGGGCUUAACCCCGGAACUGCUUUGGAAACUGUGCAGCUAGAGUGCAGGAGAGGUAAGUGGAAUGCCUGGUGUAGCGGUGAAAUGCGUAGAUAUUAGGAGGAACACCAGUGGCGAAGGCGGCUUACUGGACUGUAACUGACGUUGAGGCUCGAAAGCGUGGGGAGCAAACAGGAUUAGAUACCCUGGUAGUC